UGCGUAGGUGGCCUUUUAAGUUGGAUGUGAAAUACCCGGGCUUAACCUGGGGGGUGCAUCUAAUACUGGGAGGCUAGAGUGCAGGAGAGGAAAGCGGAAUUCCUAGUGUAGCGGUGAAAUGCGUAGAUAUUAGGAGGAACACCAGUGGCGAAGGCGGCUUUCUGGACUGUAACUGACACUGAGGCACGAAAGCGUGGGGAGCAAACA
rnacentral:rRNA from 1 species